UACAGAGGGGGCAAGCGUUGCUCGGAAUUACUGGGCGUAAAGGGCGCGUAGGCGGGAUGGCAAGUCGGUCGUGAAAUCCCUCGGCUCAACUGAGGAGCGUCGAUCGAAACUGCCGUUCUUGAGGGUUGCAGAGGAGACUGGAAUUCCCGGUGUAGCGGUGAAAUGUGUAGAGAUCGGGAGGAACACCGGUGGCGAAGGCGGGUCUCUGGGCAACUCCUGACGCUGAGGCGCGAAAGCGUGGGGAGCAAACGGG
rnacentral:rRNA from 1 species